rnacentral:lncRNA from 1 species
ACCGGUACACGGCCUUCCAGUACCGGUACUCCCAUCUCAGUACCUCAACCCGAGAGCUGGUAUUUUUGCACUUGUAUUGGGUACCGGUACUCCAUUCCUGAUUCCGGUACUCAAUACAAAUUCUGCUGUUCCAGCAGACUUAAUACUUCGGAUUCCAUUUCCGCCUUGGUUUGUGCCGAAAACACUCAAAUACUCCUGAAACUCUCUUCUAACUAUCCCAAUGCCUUCAAGGCUAUACGGGAACUUUGCCUAUCGCCUUUAUACCAUACUUUGAUCAAUU